rnacentral:rRNA from 1 species
GGAUGAACGCUGGCGGCGUGCCUACUACAUGCAAGUCGAGCGAACAGACGAGGAGCUUGCUCCUCUGACGUUAGCGGCGGACGGGUGAGUAACACGUGGAUAACCUACCUAUAAGACUGGGAUAACUUCGGGAAACCGGAGCUAAUACCGGAUAAUAUAUUGAACCGCAUGGUUCAAUAGUGAAAGACGGUUUUGCUGUCACUUAUAGAUGGAUCCGCGCCGCAUUAGCUAGUUGGUAAGGUAACGGCUUACCAAGGCAACGAUGCGUAGCCGACCUGAGGGGGGGAUCGGCGACACUAGAACUGAGACAGGGUCCAGACUCCUACGGGAGGCAGCAGUAGGGAAUCUUCCGCAAUGGGCGAAAGCCUGACGGAGCAACGCCGCGUGAGUGAUGAAGGUCUUCGGAUCGUAAAACUCUGUUAUUAGGGAAGAACAAAUGUGUAAGUAACUAUGCACGUCUUGACGGUACCUAAUCAGAAAGCCACGGCUAACUACGUG